CAGUUUUCCAGCGGAUUCCAAGGAUUGAAGUGCCUCUGAUUGCAUCUUAACCCUCUCAGAAUCUUUCAAAACCGCUCUAGACUGUGUUGAAAGUGAAAGACCUAAGACAUAAUUUGCAACACCAAUCAGCCGAUCACAUCUUCCUUGCAUUCUUUCGAUAGCUCGGCGAGCAAAAUUUAUGCCAUCUCCUGCAUACUCCAAGCUUUCAGCACAAAUCACAUUUUCCUUGCAUUCUUUCGAUAGCUCGGCGAGCAAAAUUUAUGCCAUCUCCUGCAUAAUCUAAGCUUUCAGCACAGAUUCUUGAAGCCAGCAAUAACCCUGGAACACAAGUGGGAUCCUCGGCACUACUCAAUAGUU
rnacentral:lncRNA from 1 species